UACGAAGGGGGCUAGCGUUGCUCGGAAUCACUGGGCGUAAAGCGCACGUAGGCGGACUCUUAAGUCGGGGGUGAAAUCCUGGAGCUCAACUCCAGAACUGCCUUCGAUACUGAGAGUCUUGAGUCCGGGAGAGGUGAGUGGAACUGCGAGUGUAGAGGUGAAAUUCGUAGAUAUUCGCAAGAACACCAGUGGCGAAGGCGGCUCACUGGCCCCGGUACUGACCGCCUGAGGGU
rnacentral:rRNA from 1 species